rnacentral:tRNA from 1 species
UCUAAUAUGGCAGAGGUAUGCGGUGAGCUUAAAAUUCACUCACAAAUAAUUUUAUUUUUUUAGAA